CACGUCAGAGCGCUUUGCUGAUGUGGACACAGAUCGCGCUUCAGAGGACACGAUUUGUUGCCAUGUCAGCAAAGCGUGCUGACGUGG
rfam:Gossypium raimondii Chr06_contig_772, whole genome shotgun sequence.